GAUGAACGCUAGCUACAGGCUUAACACAUGCAAGUCGCGGGGCAGCAUGGGGGUUGCUUGCAAUCCCCGAUGGCGACCGGCGGACGGGUGAGUAACGCGUAUCCAACCUGCCCCUCACCCCGGGAUAACCCGGCGAAAGGCGGACUAAUACCGUAUGUUGUCCAUUGACGGCCUCCGAGGGGGACGAAAGGCUGGGCGGUGAGGGAUGGGGAUGCGUCCGAUUAGCCAGACGGCGGGGUAACGGCCCACCGUGGCUACGAUCGGUAGGGGUUCUGAGAGGAAGGUCCCCCACACUGGAACUGAGACACGGUCCAGACUCCUACGGGAGGCAGCAGUGAGGAAUAUUGGUCAAUGGGCGUAAGCCUGAACCAGCCAAGUAGCGUGCAGGAUGACGGCCCUAUGGGUUGUAAACUGCUUUUAUGCGGGGAUAAAGUGGCCCACGUGUGGGCUUUUGCAGGUACCGCAUGAAUAAGGACCGGCUAAUUCCGUG
rnacentral:rRNA from 1 species